rnacentral:rRNA from 1 species
UACGAAGGGGGCUAGCGUUGCUCGGAAUCACUGGGCGUAAAGGGUGCGUAGGCGGGUCUUUUAAGUCAGGGGUGAAAUCCUGGAGCUCAACUCCAGAACUGCCUUUGAUACUGAAGAUCUUGAGUUCGGGAGAGGUGAGUGGAAUUCCUAGUGUAGAGGUGAAAUUCGUAGAUAUUAGGAAGAACACCAGUGGCGAAGGCGGCUCACUGGCCCGGUACUGACGCUGAGGCGCGAAAGCGUGGGGAGCAAACAGGG